GACUGCGUACCUUUUGUAUAAUGGGUCAGCGACUUAUAUUCUGUAGCAAGGUUAACCGUAUAGGGGAGCCGAAGGGAAACCGAGUCUUAACUGGGCGUUAAGUUGCAGGGUAUAGACCCGAAACCCGGUGAUCUAGCCAUGGGCAGGUUGAAGGUUGGGUAACACUAACUGGAGGACCGAACCGACUAAUGUUGAAAAAUUAGCGGAUGACUUGUGGCUGGGGGUGAAAGGCCAAUCAAACCGGGAGAUAGCUGGUUCUCCCCGAAAGCUAUUUAGGUAGCGCCUCGUGAACUCAUCUUCGGGGGUAGAGCACUGUUUCGGCUAGGGGGUCAUCCCGACUUACCAACCCGAUGCAAACUGCGAAUACCGAAGAAUGUUAUCACGGGAGACACACGGCGGGUGCUAACGUCCGUCGUGAAGAGGGAAACAACCCAGACCGCCAGCUAAGGUCCCAAAGUCACAGUUAAGUGGGAAACGAUGUGGGAAGGCUCAGACAGCCAGGAUGUUGGCUUAGAAGCAGCCAUCAUUUAAAGAAAGCGUAAUAGCUCACUGGUCGAGUCGGCCUGCGCGGAAGAUGUAACGGGGCUAAACUGUGCACCGAAGCUGCGGCAGCGACGCUUAUGCGUUGUUGGGUAGGGGAGCGUUCUGUAAGCCUGCGAAGGUGUCCUGUGAGGGAUGCUGGAGGUAUCAGAAGUGCGAAUGCUGACAUAAGUAACGAUAAUGCGGGUGAAAAGCCCGCUCGCCGGAAGACCAAGGGUUCCUGUCCAACGUUAAUCGGGGCAGGGUGAGUCGACCCCUAAGGCGAGGCCGAAAGGCGUAGUCGAUGGGAAACGGGUUAAUAUUCCCGUACUUGGUGUUACUGCGAAGGGGGGACGGAGAAGGCUAUGUUGGCCGGGCGACGGUUGUCCCGGUUUAAGCGUGUAGGCUGGUUUUCCAGGCAAAUCCGGAAAAUCAAG
rnacentral:rRNA from 1 species